UUUAGAACUCUGAGACACAAUAUUCUGUUACAUUGUAGCAAAAUGGCGACUGUCAUUCACAACCCCCUGAAAGCUCUUGGGGACCAGUUCUACAAAGAAGCCAUAGAGCACUGCCGCAGCUACAAUUCCCGCCUCUGUGCUGAGCGCAGCGUUCGACUUCCGUUCCUGGACUCACAGACUGGUGUUGCUCAGAAUAACUGUUACAUAUGGAUGGAAAAGAGGCAUCGAGGACCAGGACUAGCUCCAGGGCAGCUCUAUACAUACCCUGCUCGGUGCUGGCGCAAGAAGAGACGUUUGCAUCCCCCUGAAGACUCCAGGCUGAAGUUGCUGGAGAUUAAACCUGAAGUUGACCUGCCUCUGAAGAAGGAUGGCUUCACAUCAGAAGGGACCACACUGGAAGCCUUGCUGCGUGGAGAAGGGCUUGAAAAGAAGAUAGAUACUAAAGAGGAGGAUACUCUACAAGAAAUCCAGAGGGUUUUGGAAAAUGAUGAAAAUGCAGAUGAAGUGAAUGAAGAGGAAGAGAUAGAAGAAGAUAUUCCAAAACGAAAAAACAGACCCCGAGGACGGGCUCGAGGCUCUGGUGGCGGUAGGCGAAGGAAUGAUGUUUCUUCUAUGGAUGACCAUGAUAAACCUUAUGUUUGUGACAUCUGUGGCAAGCGCUAUAAGAAUCGCCCAGGACUGAGCUACCAUUAUGCUCAUACUCACCUUGCUAGCGAGGAGGGAGAUGACGCUCGGGAACAGGAGACACGUUCUCCACCUGUCCAAAGAAAUGAAAAUCAUAAACCCCAAAAAGGACCAGAUGGGGCCAUAAUUUCCAAUAACUACUGUGAUUUCUGCCUUGGAGGAUCUAAUAUGAAUAAAAAAAGUGGACGACCAGAGGAGCUUGUCUCAUGUUCAGACUGUGGGCGUUCUGCUUAUUUGGGAAGAGAAAGCAGGAAGGAAGAAGCGGCUGCAGCAUUUCCUACGGAGGACUUGUUCGGUUCCACGUCUGAAAGCGACACCUCAACUUUUCAUGGUUUUGAUGAGGAUGAUUCUGAAGAGCCUGUCUCAAACCGGAGCAGCAGCUCCCACUCAGCUAAGAAAAAGGGCAGUUGCUAAAACAACUAAGCACACAAACUUUAUGAGUGACUUUCUGCCCUUUCUGCUACUUUUAACUCUUGUUGAUGUUACUGCAUUUUUUAGAGCCACCCAGUUUUGCUUUGGGGCGAAUACACUGAAAGCACAACAAACUGAUUUUUAUAAAGAAAACUGCUCUGAAAUCUUUUUUGACAAGUUUAUUUUCAAUAUUUCCUUAACAGUGCAAAUGUGAAAUGUGGAUAUCCUUUUUUUUUUAAAUAAUAAGUAAACAAAUAGAAGAGAGCUAAUUUUCUCAACUUUUAAGAUAUAUAUAUAUAUAUAUAUAGGUGUAUAUAUAUAUAUAGGUAUAUAGAUAUAUAUUAUACACAGAUACAACACAAAAUCAGAAGGGUUGGACACCAGCAGGUACCUAUCUCAAAUAGUGUUUUAAAUAUUUAUUUCUAUAUUCUAUAUAUUAUUAGAAAAAAGUCUUUUGAGAUUAAGGCAAAAAAGCAUGAAAUCUACAUGAUAAUCUAAUUAUUAAAAAAAAAAAAGAGAAACAGUGAUCAUAUGAAUAGUUCAAGAUGAAAAGGAAAUCCAAAUGUUUGCUAGUGUGAAUUCUGCACUGCGAAAAGUUUGCAUUUAUUGUAGCACACUGGAUUUUUCCUGUUCCCCUUUUGUACUACUGCUAUGCUCACCUUUAAGAAUAUACCAAACACAAGGAUGAUUGACAAAAUUAUAAAACACAAAUUUCCUGCCAUCUUCAUUUGGAUACAUCUGUAUUUCUUCAUCUAUCCAACCUCGGCAUCUUUUUACCAGAUACUGCUUUUUGGAUUUGUUUUGUUCUUCCUCUCCUUCACCUUCUACAUUUUAGAGAGGACUUUCUGAGCACAUCUAUGGAAUACAACCAUUAAUUCUAUGGAUGAAGUAAAUAAUGUGAAUCUUGAAAGAGAUGAAAAGAAAAAUAUACCUCAUGUUCCUUAUUUUAUUUUUUAAAAAUAAUAUUAAACCCCAUUUAGUCUUAUUUUUGAUAUUUUUCUUGAAAUAAACCAAAGCAAUACUCACUAAUUUUCAAAGGGCAGCAGAGAAUACCGAAACUGAUUUGCUAUUCCAGCAACAUAGAUUUGAACAGCAGGAUUAAAAAGAUAACACCCCUGUGUUUACUUGGAAUCCGAAUCCUUCAUGGAAUCUAGUGAAGAAACCAACCAACUAAGAGUGUUCAAAAUGCUCUGACCUUUCUCGCAUUGCCCGAUCCCGUCUCACCUGUGUCUUGUUCCCACACGGGAGUUUGGACUGUGGAAUGCCUGCUGGCACUUGCUCAGAGAAGUUUUGGGGGUUCCCUAAGCUUGUGCAAUACAAGAAAAUCCAUACUUUUUUUUAAAAGAAAAAUAUCUUUAAACUGUUGUGGGAGUUUGUGUGUGUGUAUGCGUAUAUAUAUAAGCCCAGGUCGAACUGGAACUGAUCAAUGGCAGAAGUGACUGAAAGCAACAAACAAAUGAAAAAAAAAACUUGACAGAAACUAGAACAAGUUAUUUUAUUUAUUUCAAUAUUUAAGACAGAAAAGUAGUGCUGAUGUUGCACAGUAUUUUUGUUUAAAAUGGAUUUUACUUCAACAUUAAAGGUUUUUUUGUGUGUGUGAAGGUGGGACUUUUGCAAAGCGCUUAAAUGCAAGAAAAAGGCUGUUUACUUGCAGGAUAAUUUUUUUUUUAAGUUAUGAAAAUAAAGAUAAACUUUGCUCUCUC